GCCCGGCUAGCUCAAUCGGUAGAGCGUGAGACUCUUACGGAUAAACAGGGUUCAUCUCAAGGUUGUGGGUUCGACCCCCACGUCGGGCU